rnacentral:rRNA from 1 species
CAACAGGGAUUGCCCUAGUAACGGCGAGUGAAGCGGCAACAGCUCAAAUUUGAAAUCUGGCUCUCUUUGGGGGUCCGAGUUGUAAUUUGCAGAGGAUGCUUUGGCAUUGGCAGCGGUCUAAGUUCCUUGGAACAGGACAUCACAGAGGGUGAGAAUCCCGUACGUGGUCGCUUGCCUUUGCCGUGUAAAGCUCCUUCGACGAGUCGAGUUGUUUGGGAAUGCAGCUCUAAAUGGGAGGUAAAUUUCUUCUAAAGCUAAAUACUGGCCAGAGACCGAUAGCGCACAAGUAGAGUGAUCGAAAGAUGAAAAGUACUUUGGAAAGAGAGUCAAAAAGCACGUGAAAUUGUUGAAAGGGAAGCGCUUGCAGCCAGACUUGCCCGCAGUUGCUCACCUAGGCUUUCGCCUGGGGCACUCUUCUGCGGGCAGGCCAGCAUCAGUUUGGGCGGUUGGAUAAAGGCCUCUGUCACGUAUCUUCCUUCGGGAUGACCUUAUAGGGGAGGCGUAAUGCAACCAGCCCGGACUGAGGUCCGCGCAUCUGCUAGGAUGCUGGCGUAAUGGCUGUAAGCGGCCCGUCUUGAAACACGGACCAAGGAGUCUAACAUCUAUGCGAGUGUUUGGGUGUCAAGCCCGAGCGCGUAAUGAAAGUGAACGGAGGUGGGAACCUUUUAGGUGCACCAUCGACCGAUCCUGAUGUCUUCGGAUGGAUUUGAGUAAGAGCAUAGCUGUUGGGACCCGAAAGAUGGUGAACUAUGCUUGAAUAGGGUGAAGCCAGAGGAAACUCUGGUGGAGGCUCGCAGCGGUUCUGACGUGCAAAUCGAUCGUCAAAUUUGGGCAUAGGGGCGAAAGACUAA